GUUAUGGCUGAGUGGUAAAGCGCUUGGCUGUCAAACUGGUGGGUCCCGGGUUCGAAUCCUGGUGGAGACU
rnacentral:tRNA from 1 species